rnacentral:lncRNA from 1 species
UUUAGCAUGUGUAGUCUUUGCUUAAAUCAAGUUUUGGUGAACAUAACACACACACACAGCAUCUCUAUAGCAUUUAUGAAUUAUCUGAGUGUAUGACAUUAUGCCUAUAGUUUGGUUUGAAUUUGUAUUCUUGAAUCUGGAUAAUUCGCUGAGGCAUUUUAGACUGAAAUUCUGUUAGAGCUGGAACAAUGUGAGAUUAGUUUGCAUCAUAGCUUAGUUUCAUAGUAAUGUAGUUGCAUUUUUAUUGUUUAUAUAAUAUGCAUUGCUUGAGGGAAUGCAAUAGUUCAAGUUUGGGGGUAUUUGAUAAGUGGGUUUUAUACCUACUUAUUGGAUAUCAAUUCACGUGAACUAUGCCCAUCUCAAGUACAUUUUAGUGUGUUUUUAGUUGCAUUUCAUGUCAUUUUGCAUUGCAUAUUCUGAAAACUCUUUUGGUGGAACAAUUGAAAGAUAUGGCAAAAUUUGGUGGUGUUAGAUGGCAUAAGGCUAAUGGAUGCAUGACGUGAGGAACAAGUAGAGAUAUGCAACUGAGAAUGGAUGAAAGAAGAGUGACAUGACAAAGAAG